rnacentral:lncRNA from 1 species
GUAUUUACACUCAGAAGAGUUUUUCUUCCAACCAGGCAAACCUUUCUCAUCUAAACUUUGCUAAGCUGGGUUGGGCAAUCAUUUGCACACAGUAUGCAUAGAGGGUAAAUCAUGGUCAGGGAAAGGAGAGAAGAGGAGGCUGGGGGAAUGGAAUGGGACAUGCAGUUGGGGUGGUGUUCUCAUUCUUACUUAGAGCACGCCUAAUGACCCUUCUCGGGAACUGGAGAGGAGCAGUGGUUUGUACCAAUCUUGUCCUAGGCCUUCCACAUGGCCUGGACUGAAGAGUUCCUGCAUGCAGCUCUUUCCGUAUCCAUGGAGCCCCUUCUGCCAUGAGUCAGAGAUUAUCUCAGGGGUUGACGCUUCUCCAUAUGUGAGCUCUACUAAGCCGAGUACCUUUAGCACCUCUUUCAGCAACCAAUUCUUGCGUGAUUAAAGACAUUCUUUUUUUUGUACCAUAAUUCUUAGGAAUUCAAGACUACCUGCUGCCCCUCCAAAUUUAUUUCCCUUACUUUAGUUAUUGGCUCACUUUUUAUCAGUAUCUUAGUUAACAAUCUAUGCAGUAUUUGAAAGUGAUGACUGUCACUGCUUCAGUAUACAUUUUACAAUAUGGUCUUACAAAAUUUGAUGAUGGCUUCUUUCUUUUCCAUUUAUUUCCAAAUUAGUGAGCUUUAAAAAAGACCUAUAACAUCUUGUGAAGGAGGGGCAGAACUUAUCAUCCUCAACUAACAUAGAGAAAAUUGUCUCAUAGAGCAGGAGCUGAUAGCCCUUGGCUUUCUGGAUGGAGGAGACAGCAAUGGAGUGGAGGGAUUUCUCAGGAAUCUCCCCCAGGGGCUGCUCUACAGGCCUCUUCAAGGCAGACCGGAUCCCCUUCAGGCCCAGGUGGCCCAACUCCAUCACGUUGAGGAAUAGGGACACAGAGGCCACAGACAACAUGAACAGGAUGAAGAUGGUUUUCUCCGUGGGCCGGGACACGAAGCAGUCCACCACAUUGGGGCAGGGCCACCGGCUGCAGCGGUACAGAGGCAGGAUCCGGAACCCGUACAGGAAGUAGUGGCCCACGAUGAAGCCCACUUCAAAGAGGGUCUUGAAGAUGAUGUGGCAGAUGUAGGUCCUCAGCAGGGUCCCCUCCAGCCGGAACUUCUUAGUGCCUUUGCUGCCGCUGCUCUUCUUGACGCUGCCCUGGUCCGGGCCGCCGUUAGUCCCCGCCUGCUGGCCCAGCUCCUCCGCCUCGCGGCUUUUGCGCUUCUCCUCCAUGCGGACGUAGUGCACCGCGUGCCCCACGUACAUCAGGGACGGGGUGGAGACGAAGAUGAUCUGCAGCACCCAGAGGCGAAUGUGGGAGAUGGGAAAGGCCUCGUCGUAGCAGACGUUCUCGCAGCCAGGCUGCUGGGUGUUGCACACGAAGUCGGAUUGCUCAUCCCCCCACACGAACUCUGCGGCCGUGCCAAGGAUGAGGAUCCGGAAGAUGAAAAGCACGGUGAGCCAGACUCUGCCGAUGACGGUGGAGUGCUCAUUCACCUCCUCCAAGAUGUUCCCCAGGAAACUCCAGUCGCCCAUUUCUCACCCACCUGAAGAAAUGAGGGAGAAGGCAAGAGCUGAGCGGCCGCAAUGCAACCCUGAGUCAAUAUCUGUUUUUGCUAACGCGGGGUACCUCUCCUUUCCAAGUUGCCAGAACGGUCAAUGUGCACACAGCGUCUAUCCAGUGCUUCCUUUGUGCAGACUAGGACUAGAGAACAAAGAAGGCCCCGAAGAAUGUGCUUCCAUCCGCUUCCUCAUCUGUAAAAUGGGUUUAAUAAUAAUAAUACCUAUUCUCAUUCACUUCACAAAUGGUCUGAAAGCAUCAAUGAGGCAAUAUUUGUAUAAUUCCUUAAAGUCCACCAAAAAUAAGGAUUCAUUGUUGACCAUAAAUA